rnacentral:rRNA from 1 species
GAUCAUCGCUCAGGAUGAACGCUAGCGGCAGGCUUAACACAUGCAAGUCGAGGGGCAGCAUAAUGGAUAGCAAUAUCUAUGGUGGCGACCGGCGCACGGGUGCGUAACGCGUAUGCAACCUACCUUUAACAGGGGGGUAACACUGAGAAAUUGGUACUAAUACCCCAUAAUAUCAUAGAAGGCAUCUUUUAUGGUUGAAAAUUCCGAUGGUUAGAGAUGGGCAUGCGUUGUAUUAG